CGGCAGCGAGGUCCCAAAGAGUUGGACACAACUGAGCGACUAACACUUUCACUUUCUGACAGGUGGAGAAAAAGGACAAGCAACAGGAUGAUUGGAAAAGUAACUCAAAAGCAAACAUCUCUACCACCAGGACAUCAAUGAAACACAAAGCAGAAAGCCUCUGCAGAUCCAGAAUGACACGCUGUCAGGAAGCAAAGGAUGGCUGCCAUCACCAGGCACCUCCAUUAACAAGCUCAACAUCAACCCUAAACAUUUUUUAUCUUUUCAAAAACCAACACUGAGGCCAGAAAUGUCAAAGCAAGCAGGCAUUCACACAUUGUGUUCAGAGUAUGAAUCAGUGAAGUUGCUCAGUCGUGUCCGACUCUUUGUGACCACAUGGACUGUAGCCUACCAGGCUCCUCCAUCCAUGGAAUUUUCCAGGCAAGACUACUGGAGUGGGUUGCCAUUUCCUUCUCCAGUUCAGAGCAUGACCUUGCCGAAAUCCUGAAGGCUGGGCAGCAAGGUUAGAGCACAUUAUUACACACUCCUAUCUCCCAAGUGCUCUGGGAAGAAGGUGUCUAGGUUAACUGUCUGGUUAGCCACACUCCCAUGUAUAUUGUACCAGAGGAGGACAUUUCCUCUUUGUGUGGUGUGAUUCAGAACCCCUAAGGGUCUUGUGAGGAGUGACUCACUGCCAGUAAGAAAAACUGGAUACUGAAAAACGAAAUAAUUGCUCUCAAUCAGGAUAGAUAAAUUAGAGACUACAGACCAUGGAAUAACAAGCAGUAUCAACCCCAGCAAGAAGAAGUUUCUUCAGUGAUUAUAAACCAAAAAUCUUUAUAAACUGAUCGCCUUUCAUAAUCCACAAAUAAUACAAGGUUAGGAGCUUGGUUUAAGGUUAAGACACAUUCCUGAAUGGAAGUUGCUGAAAGCUAACAUGAGGAAAAACACCUUAAAUCUAUCUCACCUAUAAAUAACUUAUUUCUUUGAUUUUUCCAUCAACUGUCAUCCAUUCUGUUAUGGUUUGAUUUAAAUUUGGAUUGCUGCAGGAGUUAAAAUGGAAGCGAGCCCUUAAAUUACAGUUCACCAGAAACAGAGACUGAGAAUGGCUGUAAAGACCCGAUUUAUUUCCCUCAGUGGGCUAUUAUCUGAAAGCACCUCUCUGUAUUUAAAUUAAACUCUGGCUCUAUUUAUCUCA